rnacentral:rRNA from 1 species
UACGUAGGGUGCGAGCGUUAAUCGGAAUUACUGGGCGUAAAGCGUGCGCAGGCGGUUUUGUAAGCCAGAUGUGAAAUCCCCGGGCUUAACCUGGGAAUGGCAUUUGGGACUGCAAGGCUUGAGUGCGGCAGAGGAGACUGGAAUUCCUGGUGUAGCAGUGAAAUGCGUAGAUAUCAGGAGGAACACCUGUGGCGAAAGCGGCUCACUGGACCAUUACUGACGCUGAUGCACGAAAGCUAGGGGAGCAAACAGG